rnacentral:rRNA from 1 species
GUGGGGAAUCUUGCGCAAUGGGCGAAAGCCUGACGCAGCCAUGCCGCGUGAAUGAUGAAGGUCUUAGGAUUGUAAAAUUCUUUCACCGGGGACGAUAAUGACGGUACCCGGAGAAGAAGCCCCGGCUAACUUCGUGCCAGCAGCUGCGGUAAUACGACGGGGGCUAGCGUUGCUCGGAAUUACUGGGCGUAAAGGGCGCGUAGGCGGACAGUUUAGUCAGAGGUGAAAGCCCAGGGCUCAACCUUGGAAUUGCCUUUGAUACUGGCUGUCUUGAGUACGGGAGAGGUGAGUGGAACGCCGAGUGUAGAGGUGAAAUUCGUAGAUAUUCGGAAGAACACCAGUGGCGAAGGCGACUCACUGGCCCGUUACUGACGCUGAGGCGCGAAAGCGUGGGGAGCAAACAGGAUUAGAAACCCGGGUAGUCC